ACCCAAUUGGCUUAAGUGUUUUACUUUUAGAUCUCAGGAAGGGGGUCGGUGGAAGGCUGAUUAAACCGUUUGGUUUACGACCACUACGACCCGGGUUCGAUCCCCGCAUUGGACA